rnacentral:rRNA from 1 species
UUUGAUACUCCAGUACCACCAUGUUCGCGUCCGUCCCAAUACUCUUUGCUAAGGGGCUGUGUUGACUUCGGUCAACGCGAACCGACCCACAUUGUUGCGGGAAGCUGUAGGGGGACGCAGGAAGGUAGAUGAACCCGGUGAAUGGUAGAACCGGGGUAAGCGUGUAGGAGGAGGACCAGGUAAAUCCGGGCCUCAUAAACUCUGAGACGUGAUACCGAGCCGCUUCAGGCGAAGUCAUUGAUCCUAUGCUGCCUAGAAAAGCCCAGCAGCGAGUUGACAUGGUGCCCGUACCCCAAACCAACACAGGUGGACAGGUAGAGCAUACCAAGGCGAGUGGGAUAACUAUGGUUAAGGAACUCGGCAAAUUGCCUCCGUAACUUCGGGAGAAGGAGGACCCCAGUAGCGUGAUGAGACUUGCUCUCUGAGCGUGAAGGGGUGGCACAAAAUUGAGGGAAGCGACUGUUUACCAAAAACACAGCAGCGUGCUAAGCCGUAAGGCGCUGUAUACGCUGUGACUCCUGCCCGGUGCUGGAAGGUUACGGGGAUGGGUUAGUCCUUCGGGACGAAGCUCUGAACCUAAGCCCCAGUAAACGGCGGCCGUAACUAUAACGGUCCUAAGGUAGCGAAAUUCCUUGUCGGGUAAGUUCCGACCUGCACGAAUGGAGUAACGACUUCCCUACUGUCUCAACCAUAGACCCAGCGAAAUUGAAGUACGAGUAAAGAUGCUCGUUAGCUGCAGAAGGACGGAAAGACCCCGUGGACCUUUACUAUAACUUGAUGUUGUGUUUUGUCAUAUGUUGUGUAGGAUAGGUGGGAGACUUGGAAGCAUGGACGCUAGUCUGUGUGGAGUCAUCGUUGAAAUACCACCCUGCAUAUGGUGAGGCUCUAACCUAGACCCGUUAUCCGGGUUGGGGACAGCGUCAGGCGGGUAGUUUAACUGGGGCGGUUGCCUCCUAAAGAGUAACGGAGGCGCCCAAAGAUUCCCUCAGCCUGGUUGGCAAUCAGGCGUUGAGUGCAAUGGCAAAAGGGAGCUUGACUGCGAGACCUACAAGUCGAGCAGGAGCGAAAGCUGGGCAUAGUGAUCCGGCGGUUGCGUGUGGAAGCGCCGUCGCUCAACGGAUAAAAGGUACCCCGGGGAUAACAGGCUAAUCUUGCCCAAGCGUCCAUAGCGACGGCAAGGUUUGGCACCUCGAUGUCGGCUCAUCGCAUCCUGGGGCUGAAGCAGGUCCCAAGGGUUGGGCUGUUCGCCCAUUAAAGCGGUACGCGAGCUGGGUUCAGAACGUCGUGAGACAGUUCGGUCCCUAUCCUCUGCAGCCGGAGGUGAAUUGAGGAAAGCUGUCCCUAGUACGAGAGGACCGGGACGGACGCAGCUCUCGUGUGCCAGUUGUCCUGCCAAGGGCAUGGCUGGUUAGCGACCUGCGGAAAGGAUAACCGCUGAAAGCAUCUAAGCGGGAAGCCUCUUCCAAGAUGAAUUCACCCACAGGGUUAACCUGGUAAGGCCCGUGGUAGACCACCACGUUGAUAGGCCGGAAGUGUAAGCGUGGCAACACGUUCAGCUGACCGGUACUAAUCGGCCGAGGGCUUGAGUUC